rnacentral:rRNA from 1 species
UACGGGGGGGGCAAGCGUUGUCCGGAAUUAUUGGGCGUAAAGAGCUCGUAGGCGGCUUGUCACGUCGGGUGUGAAAGCCCGGGGCUUAACCCCGGGUCUGCAUUCGAUACGGGCUAGCUAGAGUGUGGUAGGGGAGAUCGGAAUUCCUGGUGUAGCGGUGAAAUGCGCAGAUAUCAGGAGGAACACCGGUGGCGAAGGCGGAUCUCUGGGCCAUUACUGACGCUGAGGAGCGAAAGCGUGGGGAGCGAACAGG